GUGUUGUAGUAAGACACUGAGAUGCAUGUCUUGCUAACAGUUUCUGAAUUCCAUGGUGCAUAUAGCAUGAUGAACCUAGAAACGAAGGGAAGAAGUUCAGGUGAGAAUAUAGACAAAGCUGCAGUGUUUUGGAGUAGGUUCUCUUAAUGCUUAUUCCUGUUCAUCUGUGAGAAUGAAGAUGUAGCUGUCAGUUGCGUUGCAGGAAGAGAUUUGUUCUUGGAAAUCAGGUCAUUGCAAGCAAACCAAACUACUCAGUCUCACCUGAGUUAAAAGAGGGAAAUUUUUAAGCUUCUAUCCUUGGAAGCAAUCCAGUAAAGGGCCACUUCAACUGAAAUGUGGUAAUUAAUUAAACUGUAAUAUAUUUGGGGAACUUCUAAAGUAAACUUUGUCUAAAAAGCAGCUUGGUUUUUCUAGCUCAACCGGUGCCGUUUCACUCUACAUCAACAAAAUGAACACCUAUGUAGUAUAUGGUAUAUGGGAAAAAGUAAUAGAUGCUGAAUUCAUAGCUCAGAAGUUCAUUUUGUUUUGGAAAGCAGAAUGUGAUGCCUGCCCCUAUCCAGUGGAGUUCUUGGAUGGAGAAAAGGGACAACUCAACGUGUUUAAAGGUACAGAUGCAUUCAGAGGCUGAGGUAACAGGACAGCUGUGGUGAGAGCCACAGUUCAUAAGAACAGGAGGGGGAUGUGCCUUUCCUAGUCUUACAAAGUGACUUACGUUUAUUAUUUUUUUUCUUUCAGAUUGCACCUGUAUCCUUCUCAACUCAUGUAUGGAAAAUAAGACCUGAUGCAACUGGCAUGCAGGACAGUUUCCCUUGUUAUCUGUGGCAAAGAGUCUUUAUGACUGUUUAACAAAAUGGUUCAGAUUCGUCCCAGCUCAGCUUGGACCUCCCCUGAAAGAUCAGCAGAGCAUCUGCCCUGCUUGGACGUUUCAUGCUCUGCCCCCGCCUGAAGCACCAUAUGCCAGCCACGACGUGGCCAGCUGAGGGGGCAGCUGAUCUGGGAACAGUUGGGAUCCUGCUUUCUGGUGACACUGAGCUCGGGGAAGGAACUGUGAAGUACAAAUGCACGAGGAGCUAGAACAAAAAGCAUGGGUAACUUUGCUUUCCCAAAUGAUGACUGCUCAGCCUAGCACCAGGUCAUUUGGAUUCUUUUUUUUCCCCAUACCAUUCCUAAGAACAACUCCUGUAAGUUAAAACAAUGAAAAGCUACAAAACCAACCAGCUCCAUGUAUCUAACACGUACCGCAAAACUGCUAGUU
rnacentral:lncRNA from 1 species